ACAUAUAUAUUCGUCCAACACAGGAGCACCCAGAUUCAUAAGUAAAGUUCUUAGAGACCUACAAAGUAUGUUUCACAGUAAUAGUGGGAGACUUCCACACUCCAGUGACAGUAUUAGACAGAUCAUUGAGGCAAAAAAAUGAACAAAGAUAUUCAGGACCUGAACUCAACAUUGGAGCAAAUGGAUCUGAUAGACCUUUACAGAACUCUGCACUCAAAAACAACAGAAUAUGCAUUCCUCACAUCAUCAUAUGCCACACACUCUAAAAUCAACCACAUAAUUGGACAUAAAGCAAUCCUCAGCAAAUGCAAAACAACUGAAAUCAUACCAAACACACACUGAGAUCACAGUGCAAUAAAAAUAGAAGACUAAGAAAAUUGCUGAAAAUCGCAAUUACAUGGAAAUCAAUCAACAUGCUCCUGAAUGGCUUUUUAAUAAAUAAUGAAAUUAAGGCAGAAAUCAAGAAGUUCUUUGAAAAUAAUGAGAACAAAGUUACAACAUACUAGAGCCUCUGGACAUAGCUAAGGCAAUGUUAGGAGGGAAAUUUAUAGCACUAAAUCCCACAUCAAAAAGUUAGGAAGAACUCAAAUUAAUAACCUAACAUCACAACUGAAAGAACUAGAGAAGCAAGACAAAACCCCAAAGCUAGAGGAAGACAAGAAAUAACUGAAAAUCCAAGCUGAACUGAAAGAAACUGAGACAUGAAAAAAAAAUUCAACAGAUCUACGAAUUCAGGUUUCUCCACAGACACUACCCAAAGCAGUCCUUCACUACAGUGGCAGACAGACCUGAAAAUUUUCAUCUGAAGCAGCAGAGUGAACUGCAGAGUCAGGUCACCAACCAGUGUGGAGGCUAACAGCAGGCCUCUUUGGGGAUUCCAGGUGGAAGUGUUGGACAUCUGUAGUAUUCCUGGUCUCGAAUCAUCCUGAUAUUCUUCAUUUUGUUAUUCACAUUGGACUAGGCAGGAACAAAGAUCACCACAACUGGCUCCCCUUCAACUGUGUUAGAUGGCAGCUUGCCUUCAGUACGGUGAAACACAUUAAAGUUCUCUUGCCUGACACAGCAUAGGAAGAUGCUGAACGGCCACACAGUGAUCCAUUG
rnacentral:lncRNA from 1 species